rnacentral:rRNA from 1 species
UACGUAGGGUCCGAGCGUUGUCCGGAAUUCCUGGGCGUAAAGCGUGCGCAGGCGGCUUCUUCGGCAUGACGUGAAAGCCCCGGGCUCAACCCGGGAGGGUCGUCGUGAACCGGGGGGCUUGAGGCCGGUAGAGGUGGGUGGAACUCCUGGUGGAGUGGUGAAAUGCGUAGAGAUCAGGAAGAACACCCGUGGCGAAGGCGGCCCACUGGGCCGGUACUGACGCUGAGGCACGAAGGCGUGGGGAGCGAACGGG